UGGUGGUGGAGUGGGUGGAGGGACGUGGGGCUGUUCUAGGAAGAGUGGGGCUUGUUUACUAGAGAACCAGCCUGUAGCUCCAGGGGAGAGGGGGAUGGAGCGGGGAAACGCAGGAGAGAGUGAGGCAACCAGGGCUCAAAACAGUCAAAUUCAAAUUAAAAGGUCAAGACAAGAUUCAGUUCCUCCAGCUUGGCCCUUGGGCCUGGGAGCUCCGGACCACCAGUCUUGGAGGAAACGGAAUCCGGAGAAUAACUUGUCUUUCCGGUAGUCCCACAUUUUUCCCUGGGCAGAGGCUGUGGGCUUUCCAUUUUCCGAAGGACCGGAGCCUAGCUGGGAAAGGAUUCCUGGGCCGAGCGCACCGGCGUGGAUGAGUGAAGAAGCCGGACCGAUUCCUGGAGGCCACAGCCAGCUAUGAUGGAAAAGGACUAAGGAAAGAAUUGUGCUCCGAAUUCCCACAACCAGGGAUGGAGAAGAAGAUCCAGGGGUCCCUUUAUUCCAGGGGGGAAAAAUCAAAAGAUCCAUGGAGUGUGCGACUUGUUUGCAGGCCGGCAAGGGAGACUUGGAAUAAUUUUGUUUUCAUUUGCAGGGGUCGCCCUGGCUUCAGCCUGGGGGUUAUCCAGGGCAAGGUUAGGCUGUUUAGGCCCCAGAUCAGACUUGGGACAGUCCCCAGCAGCAGUCAAUCUUGGGAGCCAUUUGUCCCACUGCCCAUCCCGCGGGAAACAGCCGAGACUUUAUGGCCACUCUGUUUGUAUUAUCUGCAUAAGUCUUUCCCCACGAGUUUGAUCGAAACCGUUCCCUUUUACGAGGACCCAAAGAAAAUUUCCCGUCAUAUUUAUCAGCUGGGGAUAAAAAUUUAGUAUGGGAACUGAUAUUUCCUCAUUUAUGGGACGAUGAAAUUAAAGACCAAAGCAAUUGAGAA